rnacentral:rRNA from 1 species
UACGUAGGUGGCAAGCGUUGUCCGGAUUUACUGGGCGUAAAGAGCGCGCAGGCGGUCGUUCAAGUCGCGUGUGAAAGCCCCCGGCUCAACUGGGGAGGGUCACGCGAUACUGAUCGACUCGAAGGCAGGAGAGGGAAGUGGAAUUCCUGGUGUAGCGGUGGAAUGCGCAGAUAUCAGGAGGAACACCAAUAGCGAAGGCAGCUCGCUGGGACGUUACUGACGCUGAGGCGCGAAAGCGUGGGGAGCAAACAGG